CGUAACAAGGUUUCCGUAGGUGAACCUGCGGAAGGAUCAUUGUCGAAACCUGCCCAACAAGCAGAACGACCCGCGAACCCGUGACAGAAAACACCGGGAGGGGCGGCGCGAGCCAACCCUCCCGCCCGCGUCGCGGGGGUCGGAGGCGUCCCGUCCGCGGGCGUCGUUCCGUGCCCCCGCGGUGCAACAACGAACCCGGCGCGGACCGCGCCAAGGAAGCCAUUAACGAGAGAGCCCGUCGAGCGUCGCCCCGGAGACGGUGCGCGUGCGAUCGGCGGUGCCUUCUUUCUUUCAUGAUCCAAAACGACUCUCGGCAACGGAUAUCUAGGCUCUCGCAUCGAUGAAGAACGUMGAGAAAUGCGAUACUUGGUGUGAAUUGCAGAAUCCCGUGAACCAUCGAGUCUUUGAACGCAAGUUGCGCCCCAAGCCUUUAGGCCGAGGGCACGUCUGCCUGGGUGUCACGCAUCGUCGCCCCCCCAUCCCCCGAGGAGCGCGGGCGGGGCGGAGACUUGCCUCCCGUGCGCCUCACGGAUCGCGGUUGGCCCAAAUACGAAUCCCCCGGCCUCGCGUKCCGCGACUUUCGGUGGUCGAAAGAAACCCGAUGCCCGUCGUGACCGCGCGGSCGUAGAGCCGGACCCCGUGAACCUGAAGCGUCGCCGCGAGAGACGCUCGCUACGCGAACCCAGGUCAAGCGGGGAUUUUAAUAAUAAAUUUAUAUUUAUUUAAUU
rnacentral:rRNA from 1 species